UACGUAGGGUGCAAGCGUUAAUCGGAAUUACUGGGCGUAAAGCGUGCGCAGGCGGUUUUGUAAGUCUGUCGUGAAAGCCCCGGGCUCAACCUGGGAAUUGCGAUGGAGACUGCAAGGCUUGAAUCUGGCAGAGGGGGGUAGAAUUCCACGUGUAGCAGUGAAAUGCGUAGAGAUGUGGAGGAACACCGAUGGCGAAGGCAGCCCCCUGGGUCAAGAUUGACGCUCAUGCACGAAAGCGUGGGGAGCAAACAGU
rnacentral:rRNA from 1 species